AGAAGUUCUACUUCCUCAUCAAUCUCUUGAUCCUGGAUCUCAGGUUCAGCAACGACAAAUUGCUUCAACAUUCGGUUGCCAAAAGCACGUGACAUCGCUAAUACACCUCCAACUCUCCAAGUACCAGCCCACAUCACAACACCUCCGGCACUUUCAAUUCUCCUCCGCUCAUCAUUUCUGUUGGGCUUAUGAUCCUCAGAAAGAGGAAUCGCUUUUCCGCUCUUCGAUAUUAUAGUCCGUGAGUCUCCAACAUUGGCGACAUAGAGAUGAUUACCAACUAGAACUGCUGUCGAAGCAGUGGAACCAUCAUCUCGGAAGGUAUCUUUUUCAGAGUCCAAAAAUUCCAUAUCUGUUUUUUGAUACGUCUCACUUAUGGCCAACUUGGUGUUCGUUGAAAAUGAUGGAUGUUUCAAUAGAUUCUGAAAGAGAUGUCCCUUCAGAAACUCAGCUGCUCGGGAACCACCAUGACCAUCAAAUAUCCCGAAUAAGCAAACUGCUUUUCCAUCAACUUCGGAAGUUUUGAUGUCAUAAAAGUCUUCCAUGGUGGCUCUUUUCCCUCUAAAGCUUGAAUAACCACAACUCAUUUUUCCAUCUUCACUCUUCCAUCCUCCGCUGGCGUAACCACUACUAUCAUCCUUCUCCAGUGAAACAUCAACCACAGGUCCACCUUUAGCAGUUGCACCAGUAUCCACCAUCAUGGUUCUCCUCCUCGCUGUAUAUAAACUAUUCCAAGAAUAACUUAUGCUACAAGUUGCAUUUAAACUUUUAAUGAGCUUGAUAAAUUGCCUUCCCUCAAUGUGCCUAUAAAUAUACCCAGCUUGAAAAACCACAACUCUUACAGCAUCUAUUGCAUAACAUCUAAAUUUGAUUUCCACAUAAACUGCCUGAAUUUGAAGAAUCAAAAGAGUAGAUUCCGUGAAACUCUGGUAGAUCCAUAGCUAAAAAAUCAACCGAUUAACAAAAUUUUGAUAUUAACAGAUCGAUCUCUGUAAGAACAUUCAGG
rnacentral:misc_RNA from 1 species